UUUCAGCAGCACAGAUACAAUACUAAAAUUGGGAUGAGACAGAGAUUAGCAUGUCCCCUGCAUAAGGAUGACAUGCAGAUUCAUGAAGCAUUUCAUAUUUUA